UGGGACUUAGCCAAGCGGUAAGGCAGCGGACUUUGACUCCGUUAUUUCGCGGGUUCAAAUCCCGCCGUCCCAGCCA
rnacentral:tRNA from 1 species